AAUAUUGGACAAUGGGGGCAACCCUGAUCCAGCCAUGCCGCGUGUGUGAGGAAGGUCUUCGGAUUGUAAAGCACUUUAAGUGGGGAGGAAGGGCUUUAGGUUAAUACCCUGAAGUUUUGACGUUACCAACAGAAUAAGCACCGGCAAACUCUGUGCCAGCAGCCGCGGUAAUACAGAGGGUGCAAGCGUUCAUCGCAAUUACUGGGCGUAACGCGGGCGUAGGUGGUUCAGUAAGAAGGGUGUGAAAUCCCCGGGCUUAACCUGGGAACUGCUUUCAUAACUGCUGAGCUAGGGUACGGUAGAGGGUAGUGGAAUUUCCUGUGUAGCGGUGAAAUGCGUAGAUAUAGGAAGGAACACCAGUGGCGAAGGCGACUACCUGGACUGAUACUGACACUGAGGUGCGAAAGCGUGGGGAGCAAAC
rnacentral:rRNA from 1 species